rnacentral:rRNA from 1 species
AAGUCGUAACAAGGUCUCCGUUGGUGAACCAGCGGAGGGAUCAUUACUGAGUACUACACUCUCUACCCUUUGUGAACUAUUAUACCUGUUGCUUCGGCGGCGCCCGCAAGGGUGCCCGCCGGUCUCAUCAGAAUCUCUGUUUUCGAACCCGACGAUACUUCUGAGUGUUCUUAGCGAACUGUCAAAACUUUUAACAACGGAUCUCUUGGCUCCAGCAUCGAUGAAGAACGCAGCGAAACGCGAUAUGUAAUGUGAAUUGCAGAAUUCAGUGAAUCAUCGAAUCUUUGAACGCACAUGGCGCCUUCCAGUAUCCUGGGAGGCAUGCCUGUCCGAGCGUCGUUUCAACCCUCGAGCCCCUGUGGCCCGGCGUUGGGGAUCUGCCACGGCAGGCCCCUAAAACCAGUGGCGGACCCGAAGGGCCCUCUCCUUUGCGCAGUAGCAUUCGCCUCGCAUCGGGAGUCCUCGGCGUCCUGCCUCUAAACCCCCCACAAGCCCGCUUCGGCGGCACCAAGGUUGACCUCGGAUCAGGUAGGAAUACCCGCCUGAACUUAA